rnacentral:lncRNA from 1 species
CGUCGCUGGAGUGGCCGGAAAAUGCCUAAAAACCACCGCCGCUGCCUUGAUUUUUCAGCGACGAUUCUCCCUCCUCGCUUAACGUGUAGCUGAACCACGACUAACAGCGUGUCGGCAAUGGCGAGGCGAGCAAGGUGGCACCCAUGCACCGUCGUGCGGUGGUCGGACUGCGAAGAUACGGCCUGAUCUUCUUCGCGAGUUUCUGGGUCAAGAAUCCGGGUUGUCUGGUCUCUCUCGUGGGUCGCUAGCC